GUCAGUAUGACAAUACGUCAUCCUAAACGUUCAUAAAACACAUAUGCUCAGGUAUCGUAAGAUGCAAGAGUUCGAAUCUCUUAGCAACCA
rnacentral:tRNA from 2 species